GAUGAACGCUGGCGGCGUGCUUAACACAUGCAAGUCGAACGAACCUUCGGGUUAGUGGCGGACGGGUGAGUAACGCGUGGGAAUCUGCCCUCAGGAGGGGGAUAACGGCUGGAAACGGCCGCUAAUACCCCAUAUGCCGCGAGGUGAAAUGAAUUUCGCCUGAGGAUGAGCCCGCGUCUGAUUAGCUAGUUGGUGGGGUAAAGGCCUACCAAGGCGACGAUCAGUAGCUGGUCUGAGAGGAUGAUCAGCCACACUGGGACUGAGACACGGCCCAGACUCCUACGGGAGGCAGCAGUGGGGAAUUUUCCGCAAUGGGCGAAAGCCUGACGGAGCAACGCCGCGUGAGGGAUGAAGGCCUCUGGGCUGUAGACCUCUUUUCUCAAGGAAGAAGACCUGACGGUACUUGAGGAAUAAGCCACGGCUAAUUCCGUGCCAGCAGCCGCGGUAA
rnacentral:rRNA from 1 species